AAAGAACAGAUGAUAACGGGUGCAUCUUUGACAUGCUGCAUGGCUAUAAGAAAGAAUGUGAGACCUGGCUUUGAGUCCCUGCUCUGUCAUUUAUUGUGUGUUCUUGAGUGCUGAGAUGCCAGAGCCUAAACCUCCGUUUUUCAAUCUGACAGGCGAGAAUAGUAAUCCCAGCCCUGCCUUCUUCACAGAUGCCCUGAGAAUCAAAUGAGAUAAUGCAGAUGAAAGUGUUUUUCAAAGCACAAUGCACCCUACGAAGAUAAAAGGAUGAAUAUUACAGUCAGUAGCUGGAGGAAAAAUAUGGGAGCAACAAAUCCCAGGCCCUGUGGGGACUUGCGUACCACAGGGGAGGCAGGACCACCCCGAACACACUCACUUCAGAUCGACGCUCAAAAGAAAACAUGCGACAAGAUGUACGCUCAGUCUCCUUUUAAAUGUUUAUUGGUACAGAGACGGUUCGAAUUGUU